GGCGAUCAAGGCAGGUGCUGUGGUUGCCGAGCUGAGGCCAGAUAGUCGCUAAACCCGCCACAGCGUCCGUGUCUGCCGGGGGAGAGAACUCGUCACAGCAGAAGAAAGAGGACCAGACCUUGAUUUAGGGCGUCUGCAUUGGUGCGACAGAGAACAGCAUCGGUUUCCUAUGGCAACAAUGGAGAAGAGCACAGCCUGCGGUUUGCCGUUCCAGGUGUUGAAGGCAUGGAGUGUGGAACAUGGUUUGUUGUUUGAACGUCGCGUGACACCGGCCAGCGAUGACAGCCGUGCUAGCGGGUG